CCUACGGGCGGCAGCAGUGGGGGAUAUUGCACAAUGGGGGGAACCCUGAUGCAGCGACGCCGCGUGGGUGAAGGAGUGCUUCGGCAUGUAAAGCCCUAUCGGCAGGGAAGAAACAAGACGGUACCUGACUAAGAAGCCCCGGCUAACUACUUGCCAGCCGCCCCGGUAAUACGUAGGGGGCGAGCGUUAUCCGGAUUCACUGGGUGUAAAGGGAGCGUAGACGGCCAUGCAAGCCAGGGGUGAAAGCCCGGGGCCCAACCCCGGGACUGCCUUUGUAACUGUGCGGCUAGAGUGCGGGAGGGGCAGGCGGAAUUCCUGGUGUAGCGGUGAAAUGCGUAGAUAUCAGGAGGAACACCGGCGGCGAAGGCGGCCUGCUGGACCGCGACUGACGUUGAGGCUCGAAAGCGUGGGGAGCGAACAGGAUUAGAUACCCGUGUAGUC
rnacentral:rRNA from 1 species